UACGAAGGGUGCGAGCGUUGUUCGGAAUUACUGGGCGUAAAGGGUUCGUAGGCGGGACUUUAAGUCAGGUGUGAAAUCCCCAAGCUCAACUUGGGACGUGCAUCUGAAACUGAGGUUCUUGAGUACUGGAGAGGGUGGUGGAAUUGCUGGUGUAGGAGUGACAUCCGUAGAGAUCAGCAGGAACAUCAGAGGCGAAGGCGACCACCUGGCCAGACACUGACGCUGAGGAACGAAAGCGUGGGGAGCAAACAGG
rnacentral:rRNA from 1 species